ensembl:lncRNA
GAGGGACUACAGCAGCCCUGGGAGGCCGCCUGGGCCCUCCGGGUCUUUGACACUGAGAGAAGCAAGGAGUACAGCAAACUUGCUUGUACAAACUCACUGAUUUUAGGAAGUUAUAAGUGCUAAAUGAUCCAAGUCAUUAGCCAAAGGAGACAAGGGCCACUAAAAUCCAUGGGAAGACUCGCUGAUCUCAGCAGCCUUUGGAUAAGGUUCCAAAAAAAAGGAUGCUGGGUCACUAAUCAUUGAGGAAAAGUAGCAGAGAAACUGCUUUAAACAGAACUUUACUUUGUAACUCACUUCUUUACUGACAAAAGUUCUCUAAUGCAAAGGACAUACUUCCACCAGCUUUUAGCUGGUUAGCAUGAAGACUGCUUUCCUUAGAUGUACACAGCAGUGAUUGUUCAGGAUAAUAAGAGGUACACGGGUAGCUGAAUUAAAAAAAGAAAACCAAACCCACAAAAAAACAAAGAAACAAACAAAAAAACCCCACAAUGGAAUUAGAGGAAGAUAAGUGAAGCAAGUCCCUGCAAGUGAGAAAGUUUCCAAUAUCCCGGUUACACAGAAAGCAAAAGGCAGCAAACUUCACGCUUGUAAGGAGAGGCAUUUGGAAAUGCUCACAUAGAACAAUCUUCAUUAAGAAGCAGGUGAGCUGCUACCACUUUUUUCAGUCAAUGAAGAACUAUUCUGCCUUUUCCAGUGUCACUUCCAACAUCACCAAGUACAGCAAUACGACAUGCAAAUGAAGUUGUUGUGAUGGAGAAUAGCCUGUUGUUUCUGAUAAUUGUCGGUGAAGAAACCAGAAGUGCUGCAAGGAGCCAAGGACGUUUCACCUUCCCGCACUGCCUUGACAGUGAAGAGCUGGGGGACACAAGGAGCUGGUAAGGGACAGAACCAGGACAGCUGGUCCAGGCUGACCAAAGGAAAAUCCCAUUCCAUGUGGCAUCAUGCAGAGCAUCAAAUCUGGGGGGAGCUGGGGGGGCUGCCAUUGCUUGGGAAUGGGCUGGGUAUUGGUCAGUGGGUGGUGAGCAAUUGUGUUUUGCAUUGCUUGUUUUCUGAUUGUUUG